GAUGAACGCUGGCGGCGUGCCUAAUACAUGCAAGUAGAACGCUGAAGCGAGGAGCUUACUCUUCUUGGAUGAGUUGCGGACGGGUGAGUAACGCGUAGGUAACCUGCCUUUUAGCCUGGGAUAACUAUUGGAAACGAUAGCUAAUACCGCAUAACAAUGGAUAACGCAUGGCUUUUAUUUGAAAGGUGCAUUUGCUACCCUAUAAGAUUGAACUUCGUUGUAUUAGCUAGUAUGUGAGGGAAUCGCCCAACUAAGCGACGAUACAUAACCGACCUGAGGAGGUGAUCGGCCACACUGGGACUGAGACACGGCCCAGACCCCUACGGGAGGGAGCAGUAGGGAAACUUCGGCAAUGGGGGCAAACCUGACCGAGCAACGCCGCGUGAGGGAAGAAGGGUUUCGGAUCGUAAAGCUCUGUUGUAAGUCAAGAACGGGUGUGGGAGUGGAAAGUUCACACUGUGACGGUAGCUUACCAGAAAGGGACGGCUAACUACGUG
rnacentral:rRNA from 1 species